UGGGGAAUCUUGCACAAUGGAGGAAACUCUGAUGCAGCGACGCCGCGUGAGCGAUGAAGCCCUUCGGGGUGUAAAGCUCUUUCGACGGGAACGCGGUACCCGAAGAAGAAGCUGCGGCUAACUACGUGCAGCAGCCGCGGUAAAACCGGUUACUCUAG
rnacentral:rRNA from 1 species